rnacentral:lncRNA from 1 species
GCAGAGUAAGUAAAAAAAUGAUCACAACUAAUAUUGUAGUUCUUGGGUUGCCUCCCAAGCAGCGCCUUUCUUUAACGUCUUUGGCUAGACAUGGCCUUCAAUUGUUUAAAUCUCUCCACUUGGAUCAUCAAGGAAUAAAACCUCCAUUUGCUCAUUAUUAAACCCUUCGUAAUAAGGCUUUAGACGGUGACCAUUGACUACAAACCUUUUCUCCGUCUUAAGACUUUGUAUUUCCACUGCACCAUAAUGAGAAAUAUUAGUAAUAACAAAUGGACCAAUCCAACGGGAGCUGACAGGUCGUCAGCCUGUGCAACAAUAAUAAUAAAUAUAGAACCUAGAUACCACUAAAAGCAGUCAACAAUCAAUCCUAGGUACUGGAGCAGGGACUCUAGGUGUGCAAUGGGUUACUUGAUUCACCCUGUUCCCGAAAAGUUUGCUUAACCCGAUAUACCAGAAUUAAUUAAUUGACAAAAAUUACUAAAUAGUAGACAGUGGCAAGUAGGGUCGUCUCCUCAGGGACUGGGGAUAUCUGUCUCUUUUUAAAGUCCAAUUGAUAAGGGGGGAUUUCACCGGAAUGAAACUAAAAAUAAUUACACAAUUUAAUUAAAAAUAAAUAAAUCACUAGCACAAGUAAAACAGGAAUUAAAUCAAGAAUAAAUAAAUUCUAGCCAAGGAUACAACUACUCAGGCACAGUCCAAUCAUCCGAUCAUUGAUGCAAGAGAGGUUCACUUAAUGUAUUAAUAGGCUAGUUAUAGUCUGACGACCAAUUUUUCCUUAAAUUAUAGAUGACCAAGGUACGACCAUUAAUCACCUCUAACCAAAAAAGUACUCCUAGGUACGACCGUAGGAAUUAAUUUUCCAAUUGCAUUAAUAACUAGAAAAACCUAGCCCUAACCAAUAACACGCUAUGAGGGUUAUUUAAAUUAGAUUGCACGUUCCCCUAAUGUGUAAACACACCAGUUGCCACUAACAUUAAUCAAUCAAACAAUUACGGAUUUAAUUGACUAAAUUGGCACGAGAUUAAUAAAUCACAUUGAACAUCGGGUCCUUGACAUCCAAUUAAUAAAAUAAUCCCAUGAAAAUUCAAGCAGAUAACGUGCAAAUAUUAAUAAAUAAAGGAACACGUGAAAACUAAUUAGAUCUCACAGAUUUUCGGGACUGCGCCGUCGAGUUGACCCUUGACUAGAUGGAAGAUUUAGCCACGCCGCAUAAUUAAAUCACCACACGAAUUAAUGGAUUGCAAAGGCAUAGCGUUUUCUAUUAAGAAGUAAGGAAUAAAAGGUGUUUUUUCCGUUGGGGAAUUUUGUCGAACACCUGGCGUGUGUCAGAGGCUAGUCAAAAGAAGGAAAAACUUAAAACUACACUAAAAGCCUAAAAACUAGAGAUGUCCCUGCUACUCUACGUUAUCUCUAUUUAAGCAAUAAAAGAAAGAUGGCUAAAGGCUAUCUAGGUGGUCCCCACACAUGUGGACAAAACCUUCAAAGUACUUCCUUCCCCCAAGUCUCUUUCCGUAGCUUCCUUUUAAGAGCCCAAAGGAGUAGAUGCCUUCCACUAGCUUGUGGUCCCCCACCAAUUCAAGGGCCCAAGAAUUGAAUCCCUUAGAAGUCUCCCUAUUUUCCAUAAAGUCCUUCCUUUUUGAUGAUUUUCUGCUUCAUUCCUGAAAUUAAGUCCAGAUACCAAAUAUGAGUAAAUAUCAGCAAUUAACACAAUAUUUAUCAGGGAUAAAAGGGGAAAUCAAUAAUAAAAUUACUAACAAAUUGUACCCUAUCAAUUCCCCCCACACCUGAAUCAUGCUUGCCCUCAAGAAUGGGGACAACCCAACUCAAUAAUGACUAGCUUUCACAUUAUCAUUGCCAGCAGUGCUUAUACCCAAAAUCAAGAUUUAGCGGCUAAAUGUCAAGUCAUAUCUCACUCGGUUAGCUUCUAAGUUCAUAGACCUGUCCAAUUCAUGGCUAAUUCGCUUAGGAAAUCCAAAUACUAACUAGCAAUAGUCAGUAAUUAAGUCAACUGGCAACCAAAAUCUCAACAAUACGACCCAAGGAUCGGCAGGCUAACAUGAUCAUAAACUCACAUAUUCUGCACUUCUGAUUUCCUUUUUUUUUUCUGUUUUUUUGGAUUGCAAGAAUAAUGCUUAGUCCCGAGCUAUUCAAGUCUUUUGACGUGAACGCUGACAUUUUUAGAUGAAAGAGCCCAGUUACUCGACCUUUCAUAGCUCCAGGACUUUUUUACUCAUAGAUAUCGCUACUUUUUGACGCGAGAGCCGACACUUGUGGUGAAAGCUCCCGGUUACUAGGUAGCGACACUAGCGGAGUACAGCCAUAUGUUAUUCACCAUAAAACACCAAAACACCAAGUAAUUACAGAUCAUAGCCCGCGUCAUGUCCUAAAUAUGGAGAACUAAGGUAAACAGGAGACCAAACUACACAACAAUGCCGGUAAAAUAUUUAUAUUGCCUAACCAAGUUAGCCAUAAAUUGCACCAAGUCGUUAAUACUCAAAAUAUUCACCAAGUAAGCAUGCUUUUACUUGCCACUGCAACUCAACUCGUAGUACAAACCACCACUAACAAGAAAAAAGUGAGCUGCCAAAAAUAUUCACCAAGAUAGAAGCAAGGGAAAGACACUCAAAAGGGAUAAAGGAGCAACACCUAAACAGAAAACAAGAGGAAAAAUAAUAAAGAAACGAGAACUAGCACCCAAACUGAGACCCCCCCCACACCUAAACGACACAUUGCCCCCAAUGUGAAAAUAUAAUAGCAGGAAAAUGGAGAGGGGCAACGGUACUUCCCUGAAAUCGUCAAGACAAGGGUGGAUUAGGCGGAAACUGAGGUGGGAACCCAGCUUGCUGCAUAAAAGCCGCGAGAUUCUGCGCCAGAUUGUGAAUGUUAACGUCCAUGUGUUUUUGCCGAAUCUCAAGUCGCUCGACUGUGUUGCGGAGCUGGUUCCAUUCCUCAUGUGUAUGGGCGGAAUGGGGGGGCACGGAGGAAGAAGCACCGGGAUCACCGUCCUCAGUGGAAGCUCGGGCAGAAGAUGACCGAGGGGGGGUUCUAGAGGCCCCGGGGGGACAACCCCCCAACCAUUGUCGCCCUCCCGAACUAAGCCCAUUUUCUCCAAGCUUGGAAUAUCCAAAGGCUCCAUUUGACAGGCAAUAUGCAAGUUGUGGUUAGAAAUAUCAAGGACAUGCAAAUUAAUAGCCAAGUGAGUAAUGUAAGACCCAAGAAUCAAGGGGCGUUUCUUUUUAGGCAAAAUGGACUUGAAUUGAGACGCGAGCCAACACCCAAGAUUAACCUUAAUAUUGUUUUGCAUGCACCAUAUAAAGAAAAACUCCGACUUAGACAAAACGCCCGAACUAUCUCGCCUACCCGAGAAACUGUAAGCCAAAAAACGGUGGAUAUAGCGAGAGGCCGGGUCCUUCAGAUAGGACCCCUUUGAUAGACGAGGGUCAUAGUUUUUACUGUCUACAGACAUAUCAUCCCAAAGAAAGCGAUAACGGGAGAAAAACGGCUGGACAUAGUCACAUGCACUCUCGGCAUACUCCCUAGGCUCAGCAUAAGCUGGAUCAAUGAAACCAAAGGCCAGAUUGAAGUCGGUUAUGGAAUGGUGGAAUUCCUGGCCCAUUAAACGGAAGCGGAUGACAUCAGGGGUAGAAACUGUGUAAUUAGUGGGAAGGUCAAACUCAAACGUGGCAUAAAACUCCCUAACCAACUCGACAAAAGCCGGGAGGUCAGUGAUACGAGAAUAGGGGCGCCACCCGAUGGCUUCAAUCAAAUCGUGAAAGGGGACACUAAUAUUUAAAAGGCCCAAGGUGGCGGGGUCCCGAUAACGACAAGGAAUAAUCCGUCGUUCACAAGCCGCUUCAUAGCGCCGCUUGUCGGCUGCCCGGGUGAAGUCCAAAUGACCCCCAAAAUGUUCAGGGUCAGAGAUAUGGACGCCUCUUUGUCGCCCAAGACGAGCCCGCCUCCCAGAGGAGGAAGGGUCGUGCGAGGGGUCAGAGGCGGGAAUGGAAUGCUUGGGUGGAGGGGGCUGAGGAGUCCUAGGGGUCCUAGACUUAGAAGAAGAUCGGGGCUUCACCAUGGUGACCAACAGGCAAACCCGAAACAACCAAGUAGCAAUAUAAGUGUCACGGGCGCCCCCAAUAAGCAAGUAUAAGCGUCACGGGCGCCCCCAAAUUCAACCAGCAAUCUCAGCAAUAAAUGGUGAGAAUUGAGAGACAGUUCAGCACAGAGAAUGAAGAAAUGGAAAGCAAUACUGCCACCAGUACCACUGGUGUAAAGACAGGAAAGCAAUGCAAGCACCCUCAGGCUAUAACAAUCCUCAACAAGACAUCAAAUGCAAUUAAUAAAGAGCAACAGUCCCAAUAGAAUCCAAUAUAAGACAAAACAGCCCAAGCGUGCAAUACUACUCCAAAUAACCCAAGUAGGUUCAUUAGGCACAAACAAUCAGCAAUCAGCAAAGGAAGGGACACAGUAGCCCUCCAAUUCAACAAACAGACGCAUAAAAAUGCCCAGCCAAUGUCACUUCAAGGGCCACGAGUUAAAAAUUAACAACACAAACCACGAGUGAUAUCAACAGGGACCCCAAAAGAGCAAUGAACUCAACUAUUUGAAGUAAGCAGGACUCAACAAAUGUCACCACUUGGACAGCCAAUCACUCAAUUAUAAUCCAGCAACAACUGAAUAUAAUGUAAUCACAGGGAAGAGUCACAGGGAAGAAUUGAAUCAGACGGCCAACCAAAUCCACCAAGAAAUCCAGACAAUCACUAAACAGCCCCAGAAAUUAGAAAUUGACAAAAGUACCUCCCUUAUGCCCAACCGUAGACAGCGGGACAGUGAUGGGGCGCAAUGGCGCGGCUGGCGGCUGGCGGCUGCUCUGGUGGGGUGAACGAGGGAGGACAGGGCCGAGCUGGGAGUGGCGGGAUCGGUGGUGGAAAGCUCGGCGAUUGUGCUGAUGCGGUGGUGGAGAGAGCAGAUCUGGCGGGGGGAAAGGCGCGGCGAGCUUGGCGGCGAUGGAAGCGGGUCAGCGGCGGCGACUGGCUCUGCGGAGUACAGGCACCUCGUGGCCGUGGGCAACGUGGAGAGAGGGACCAUGAGCUGGUGGAGCUCGGGGUUUGACGGCCAGGCGCGCUGAUGGUGGCGCGCGAGGGUGGGCAGCCGCGCUUCGUGGAGAAAACCAAGGCGUCAGUGGCGGUGGUCGCGGACAGCCGGCGAUGGUGGCCUAGGGCGCAGUGGAGCUUGGAGGCGGUGGCGGCGCGCGAAAGCUGGUGGCUUGCGCGUCACUGUGGGCUGCAGGUGGCGGCGGACUGGUCGCUGGGCUGCGCGCGUUGGUGGCCUAGGGCGCAGUGGAGCUUGGAGGCGGCGGCGGCGGAUGAAGAAGAAAAGAACAGGGGAAAAAGAAAGCAGCGGGGAAGAAGGAAGAAAGAAAAAGAAAAAAAAAGAAAGAAAGAAAGAAAGAAAGAAGAAAAGAAAAAAAAGAAAGAAAAAGAAUUUUUUUUUUUUGUUAUAUAAACAAUGCUUACGAAAAUCUGAAAUCUGAAAUUGUUUAUUUUAAAUUUUAAAAAAAAAAUUUUUUUUAUAAAGCAAUAACAAAAACAAAAAUAAUAAUAACAAUAGUAAUAAAUUUUAAAUUUUAAUUUUAAAUUUUUUUUUUUUGAAUUCGUGUUUUAGGUCGUCAAACACCGCGUGGGCACGGCACGCCAAGAUUGGUCUUCGUCCUCUGAUCUCAGGAGACACAAACACCGCGUGGGCACGCCAAGAUUGCAAUUCAUCUACUGAGCUCAGGAGGCACCAACACCGCGUGGGCACGCCAAGAUUGCUUCAUCUCUGACCUCAGGAGACACCAACGCCGCGUGGGCACGCCAAGAUUUCACUUCCUGAUUCAGUGAAGGAAAUAUUAGUAUUGAUACUACCCAACGAGUAAAUGACCCAAUGCAAAAGAAAAACACUAGAAAUACCAAAACAACUAGAAAUAACAAAACUAAUAUUCGGGUUGCCUCCCAAACUAGCGCCUUUCUUUAGUGUCUUUGGCUAGACAUAGCCCAUAAUCUGCUUAAACCAAGCAAAUUGGGUCCUCCAAAUGCAUCAUCUCUACCCGCUCAACUGGAACCUCAUCAUAAUAUGGCUUGAGGCGAUGACCAUUCACCACAAAUUUCUUCUCCGUCUUUAGACUCUGGAUCUCCACUGCACCAUAAUCAAAGACAUUAGUUACAACAAAGGAACCAAUCCAACGAGAACGUAGCUUACCUGGAAAUAACUUCAAUUUGGAGUGAUACAGUAGAACUUUUUGUCCACAUUCAAACGUCUUCCUAGAGAUCUGUUGGUCAUGAAAAAUCUUGUUUUUCUCCUUAUAAAUCACAGCAUUCUCGUAGGCUUCAUUGCGAAUCUCCUCCAAUUCUUGUAACUGUAGCUUCCUUUGAAUUCCGCCCUCUUCGAUACCCAUGUUGCAUUGCUUGACCGCCCAAAAUGCUCUAUGCUCGAACUCGACAGGGAGGUGGCAUGGCUUCCCAAAUACCAAACGGUAAGGAGACAUGCCGAUUGGUGUCUUGUACGCCGUUCUAUAUGCCCACAAGGCAUCUUCAAGUCUCACACUCCAGUCCUUCCUAUCAGGUCGAACCAUUUUUUCCAAAAUCGACUUGAUCUCCCGGUUCGAUGCUUCCGCCUGACCAUUUGUCUGCGGAUGGUAAGACGUGGAGACUUUGUGCAAGACCCCGUAUCUCCUAAAAAGUGCAGUAAUUGUCUUGUUGCAGAAAUGGGUACCCCGAUCACUUACAAUUGCUCGCGGCAUCCCAAAUCGGACAAAGAUAUUAGACUUGACGAAUUCUGCGACUACUUUGGAAUCAUUAGUACGGGUGGCCUUCGCUUCCACCCAUUUCGAGACAUAGUCUACAGCAAGCAAUAUAUAUAAAAAGCCAAAAGAUGAAGGAAAAGGACCCAUAAAGUCAAUACCCCAAACAUCAAAAAUCUCAACAAAAAUCAUUGGGGUCUGGGUCAUUUGAUCCCUUCGAGAAAUAUUACCUACUCGUUGACACUUAUCACAUGACUUACAAAAUAAGUAGGUAUCCUUAAAGAGGGUCGGCCAAUAAAAUCCACUCUCUAAAACCUUACGAGCAGUCCUCUUUGGUCCAAAGUGACCUCCACAUGCGAAAGAGUGACAAUAAGCUAAAAUAGAUUGGAAUUCAUUUUCACUUACACAUCUACGAAUGAUUUGGUCAGCACCACGUUUCCAGAGGUACGGGUCAUCCCAGAUGUAAGACUUUGCGUCACUCCUCAAUUUGUCCCUUUUUGCCUUAGGCCAUCCUGCAGGAAACUUGUCAGUAACUAGAAAAUUAACCAUAUCCGCAUACCAAGGCAAAGACAAAUUAAUAGAAAAUAAAUGCUCAUCGGGAAAAGUUUCUCUCAAUGGGAUAUUAUCUUCUUCGACUUGCACUCGACUUAAAUGAUCCGCUACCAGAUUUUCAGCCCAUUUCUUAUCCCUGAUCUCCAAGUCGAACUCUUGGAGCAGUAGUAUCCACCUUAUCAGUCGCGGCUUCGCCUCUUUUUUGGUCAACAGAUACCGCAGGGCUGCAUGAUCAGAGAAAAUAAUAACUUUAGCACCAAGUAAAUAUGACCGAAAUUUCUCUAACGCAAAAAUUACAGCUAAAAGCUCCUUUUCGGUGGUCGAAUAGUUCAACUGAGCCCCGUUCAAGGCUCGAGAGGCGUAGUAUAUAGCAUAGGCUGCCUUCCCCACUCUUUGACCCAGGACCGCGCCCACGGCAUAGUCGCUGGCAUCGCACAUGAUCUCGAACGGUAGGUUCCAAUCAGGGGGUUGGAUAAUAGGUGAGGAGGUCAGUAUCUCCUUUAACCUAUCAAACGCCCCCUUACAUGACUCAUUGAACUCGAAGGGUACCUCUUUCUGCAAAAGUUGGAACAGGGGCGCUCCAAUCUUGGAGAAGUCCUUUAUGAAUCUCCGGUAGAAACCUGCGUGACCCAAAAAAGAACGUACCUCCCGCACACUCGCGGGGUAAGAUAAAGUAGAUAUAACAUCUAUUUUUGCCUUAUCAACCUCAAUACCGCUAGACGAUACCACAUGACCCAAAACUAUCCCGUGCUCGACCAUAAAAUGGCAUUUUUCCCAAUUGAGUACGAGAUUAGCUUCUAUGCACCUUAUUAGAAUUAAUUUCAGGUUAUCUAGGUAGUUAUCAAAACUAUCCCCAUACACACUGAAAUCAUCCAUAAAAACCUCAAUAAUCUUCUCAACAUAUUCUGAAAAAAUACUUACCAUACAGCGCUGGAAGGUGGCAGGUGCAUUGCAUAGCCCAAAUGGCAUCCUCCGGUAUGCGAAUGUUCCAAACGGGCACGUGAAGGUAGUUUUCUCCUGGUCCUCAGGUGCGAUAGCAAUCUGGAAAUAACCUGAAAAACCAUCCAAAAAACAAUAAUAAGCUCGACCUGCUAAUCGCUCUACCAUUUGAUCAAUAAAAGGAAGGGGAAAAUGAUCCUUUUUCAUGACGGCGUUCAAUUUCCUAUAAUCUAUGCACUGCCGCCACCCAGUGGGCUUCCGGACUGGCACGAGCUCACCCUCCUGAUUUGAUUCUACCGUCACCCCUGCCUUCUUUGGGACCACCUGUACUGGACUUACCCAGGGGCUAUCUGAUAUAGCAAAAAUUAUCCCCACAUCCAGUAGUUUUAGGAUCUCUUUCUUCACUACCUCCAUCAUGAGAGGAUUCAAUCUCCUUUGAGCCUGCCGAAUAGGUCUAGCGCCCUCUUCGAGUCGAAUCCGAUGUGUACAUACCGCGGGGCUAAUUCCCUUGAUAUCGGCGAUAGUCCAUCCUAUCGCCUGCUUAUGGUCCCUCAAAACUCUAAUCAAUUUGUCUUCUUGGACUGUUGAUAAACUGGCGGAGAUAAUCACUGGGAGUGUCUCCCCCUCGCCUAAGUACGCAUACUUUAGGUGUUUUGGCAGCGGUUUCAACUCUAAGACAGGCGCCUGCACCACAGAUGGAAGUAGCCUUUGGUGAGGUUCAGGUGUAAACACGGGUGCGAGGUCAUACCUUAUCUUUGUGGUUGGCAACGUCUGCAACGUUCCAAUCACACAUUUGAGCUCUUUACUCAACUCUAUCUCAGCGGUCAUCUCUGACUCGAAGUGCCUGGUCAAGGCAACUUCCAGCUCAUCCCUGCCUUCAAUUUCGAAAACUUCACGUACAGUAGAGUCAAUAGCAUUUAUAGAGAAGACAGAGCUAGCAUGUGAUUCUGACGGAUACUUCAUAGAUUCGAAAAUGUUAAAAUGAACAAUCUCACCAUCAAAUUCCAUAGAUAGGGUGCCCUUAUUAACAUCUAUUUUAGUUCGAGCUGUGCUUAAGAAGGGUCUACCUAAUAGUAAAGGUGAUAGGUCGUGAGAGUAUUCAUCAUCCAUAUCAAGCACGUAAAAAUCAGCAGGGAAAACCAAUUCAUUAAUUUUCACUAAAACAUCCUCAAUCAACCCGUCAGGGUAUGCAUUGGUCCGGUCAGCCAGUUGGAUUAUUAUUCCAGUGUCUUUCAGAGGUCCUAACUUCAACGAGGCAUAUAUAGACUUGGGCAUCACAUUAAUUGAGGCUCCUAGAUCUAACAUAGUCUUUCCAAUCAAGAUAUUUCCUAUUCUACAAGGAAUAGUGAACAUACCUGGGUCACCGCAUUUCGGUGGAAGCUUUCGUUGCAGGAUCGCUGACACAUUUUCUCCCACUACCACUCUCUCAUCUCCCUUCAAUCGCCUUCGAUUGACACACAGGUCCCUUAAAAAUUUUGCGUAUUUGGGUACCUGCUUAAUCGCAUCUAGAAGAGGAAUGUUGAUCUCCACUUUGCGAAAGAUCUCUAGGACCUCUUUCUCCUUGUCCUGCUUCCUUGGUUUCUCCAAUCUGCUUGGGAAGGGAGGUGGGUUGGAUCUAACUGGCAUGAGUGGGUCCGGGAUUACCUUUGAAUUUUUAUUGUCACCGCCCUCCUCUUCCAGCUCUUUUUCAAUUCGAUUUUCGUCCUUGUCCUUAGGAAUCAUCGGGUCAGGUCCUUGGACCUCCUUGCCACUUCUCAAGGUCAUGGCGCUAACAUUCUUCGGGUUUAAUUCGGGCUGAGACGGCAAUUUACCUUGGUUUUGGGAAUCCAAACGAUUGAUUGUUAUGGCCAUUUGACUUAUCUGAUUCCUCAUGUCCUGCAUUUCAGAGUCCGUCCUCUGCUGAUUUUGCGUGAGGGUUGCCAUCACUUGUUUCAUCAUCUCCUCCAAAGAUGGACCAGAUCUUGGGGGCGGAGGUGGUCGGGGUUGGUACUGCUGCUGGUACCCUGGUGGCUUAUUUGGCACGAAAUUAGACUGCCUGUUCGGUGUAUAGUUGGGCUGCCUAUUUCCUCCAUAGCUGAGAUUUGGGUGGUCCUUCCAGCCGGGAUUGUACGUAUUCGAGUACGGGUCAUAGGCUCUUCUUGGCGCGGGCGCGUGGCCAGCCAUGUUCACCUGUUCUGCAGUUUCUUCCUGAAGCAUUGGGCACAUGUCUGCAGAGUGUCCCAUACCAGUGCAAAUCCCGCACACCCUGGCCUGAGUUGCUCUCUCUACAGCCAGUUGCCUCACAAACGAGGUCAACUCAGUUAGCUGCUGCUGGACAGAUGGUGUCUCUAUCUCGUUCACCUUGCGUAUUGGGACAUCCUCUCUCGUACCGAAUUGUUGUGAAUUUUCUGCCAUCCCCUCUAUUAGCUCCCGUGCUUCCUGAGGGGUCUUGUUCACCAGUGCCCCUCCACUUGCAGCAUCAAUUAUGCUCCUGUCUCUGAAUAGGAGCCCCUCAUAAAAAUACUGAAUGAGCAACUGCUCACUUAUCUGGUGCUGGGGACACUUGUGUAACAAGUUCUUGAACCGUUCCCAAUACUCAUAGAGUGAUUCUCCUGGAUGUUGCUUGAUCCCGCAGAUUUCUUUCCUUAGGCUUGCAGCCCUGGAUGCAGGAAAAUAUUUAUCUAAAAAUUUUUUCUUCAAUUGGUCCCACGUGGUGAUGCUACCUGGUGACAGGUAGUACAGCCAGUCCUUCGCAGAAUCUUUCAGGGAGAAGGGGAACGCCCUCAUUUUUAUCUGCUCUUCAGUGAUCCCCGGGGGUUUCAUACUAUUGCACACGACAUCAAACUCCUGCAGAUGCUUAUACGGCUCCUCACCUGGUAAGCCAUGAAAAGAAGGUAAAAGAUGAAUUAGACCUGAUUUCAAUUCAAAGGAAGUGUUAUCACUCAAACUCGGGAAAGUAAUGCAUAAAGGCUGCUGAUUUAAAUCAGGAGCAGCCAACUCCCUUAAUGUUCGUGCAUUAGCCAUGAGAAUUUCUUCUUGCUCUGAGUCACUCGAAGAAUCACCAAAUGAAUCUGUUGGUUCAACUUCUGACUCAGGUCUCUGAGAUGUAGCACUGGAGUGCUCCUCUCUGAGCUGUCUGGUCUCUUUCCUUAUCCUACGCGCAGUCUUCCCUACCUCAGGGUCAAAAACCAAAUUACCUGUACGAGAAGACCGAGGCAUACACUAGAAAAAAUACCAGAAAAUUAGAGCGAAAAUGAACGUAAUAAAGAAACAAAUAAUGACGCCAGUCCCCGGCAACGGCGCCAAAAAUUGACAGGUCGUCAGCCUGUGCAAUAAUAAUAAUAAAUAUAGAACCUAAAUACCACUAAAAGCAGUCAACAAUCAAUCCUAGGUACUGGAGCAGGGACUCUAGGUGUGCAAUGGGUUACUUGAUUCACCCUGUUCCCGAAGAGUUUGCUUAACCCGAUAUACCAGAAUUAAUUAAUUGACAAAAAUUACUAAAUAGUAGACAGUGGCAAGUAGGGUCGUCUCCUCAGGGACUGGGGAUAUCUGUCUCUUUUUAAAGUCCAAUUGAUAAGGGGGGAUUUCACCGGAAUGAAACUAAAAAUAAUUAAACAAUUUAAUUAAAAAUAAAUAAAUCACUAGCACAAGUAAAACAGGAAUUAAAUCAAGAAUAAAUAAAUUCUAACCAAGGAUACAACUACUCAGGCACAGUCCAAUCAUCCGAUCAUUGAUGCAAGAGAGGUUCACUUAAUGUAUUAAUAGGCUAGUUAUAGUCUGACGACCAAUUUUUCCUUAAAUUAUAGAUGACCAAGGUACGACCAUUAAUCACCUCUAACCAGAAAAGUACUCCUAGGUACGACCGUAUGAAUUAAUUUUCCAAUUGCAUUAAUAACUAGAAAAACCUAGCCCUAAUCAAUAACACGCUAUGAGGGUUAUUUAAAUUAGAUUGCACGUUCCCCUAAUGUGUAAACACACCAGUUGCCACUAACAUUAAUCAAUCAAACAAUUACGGAUUUAAUUGACUAAAUUGGCACGAGAUUAAUAAAUCACAUUGAACAUCGGGCCCUUGACAUCCAAUUAAUAAAAUAAUCCCAUGAAAAUUCAAGCAGAUAACGUGCAAAUAUUAAUAAAUAAAGGAACACGUGAAAACUAAUUAGAUCUCACAGAUUUUCGGGACUGCGCCGUCGAGUUGACCCUUGACUAGAUGGAAGAUUUAGCCACGCCGCAUAAUUAAAUCACCACACGAAUUAAUGGAUUGCAAAGGCAUAGCGUUUUCUAUUAAGAAGUAAGGAAUAAAAGGUGUUUUUCCCGUUGGGAAAUUUUGUCGAACACCUGGCGUGUGUCAGAGGCCAGUCAAAAGAAGGAAAAACUUAAAACUACACUAAAAGCCUAAAAACUAGAGAUGUCCCUGCUACUCUACGUUAUCUCUAUUUAAGCAAUAAAAGAAAGAUGGCUAAAGGCUAUCUAGGUGGUCCCCACACAUGUGGACAAAACCUUCAAAGUACUUCCUUCCCCCAAGUCUCUUUCCAUAGCUUCCUUUUAAGAGCCCAAAGGAAUAGAUGCCUUCCACUAGCUUGUGGUCCCCCACCAAUUCAAGGGCCCAAGAAUUGAAGCCCUUAGAAGUCUCCCUAUUUUCCAUAAAGUCCUUCCUUUUUGAUGGUUUUCUACUUCAUUCCUGAAAUUAAUUCCAGAUACCAAAUAUGAGUAAAUAUCAGCAAUUAACACAAUAUUUAUCAGGGAUAAAAGGGGAAAUCAAUAAUAAAAUUACUAACAAAUUGUACCCUAUCAGGAGCGCAACUUACCAGGAAAAAGCUUAAGUCUUGAGUGAUAAAGUAAGACUUUUUGCCCUACGACAAACGACUUUCUCGAAACUUGUUGAUCAUGGAAAACUUUGCUUUUCUCCUUAUAAAUUGCGGAAUUCUCAUAGGCUUCAUUCCUUAGCUCUUCCAACUCUUGUAAUUGGAGCUUUCUGUGUCCUCCGGCCUCCAUGAGAUCCAUGUUGCACCGCUUGAGCGCCCAGAAUGCCUUGUGUUCAAAUUCUACUGGUAAGUGGCACGGCUUCCCAAAGACUAACCUGUAAGGAGACAUUCCAAUUGGCGUUUUAUACGCAGUGCGGUAAGCCCAGAGAGCGUCUUCCAAUUUCACACUCCAAUCCUUUCUAUCAGGCCUCACCAUCUUCUCCAGGAUCGACUUAACCUCUCUAUUCGAUAUUUCGGCCUGACCAUUCGUUUGGGGAUGGUAGGGAGUGGACACUUUGUGGAGCACACCAUACUUACGAAACAAGGCGGUGAUCGUUUUAUUGCAAAAGUGGGUGCCCCUAUCACUCACUAUGGCUCGCGGCAUUCCAAAACGGACGAAAAUGUUAGAUCUUAUAAAAUCUGCAACCACUCUAGAAUCAUUAAUCCGGGUGGCUUUUGCCUCCACCCAUUUGGAAACAUAGUCAACAGCAAGUAUAAUGUACAAGAAACCAAAAGACGAGGGGAAGGGACCCAUGAAAUCUAUACCCCAGACAUCAAAAAUCUCAACAAAUAAUAUGGGGGUUUGACUCAUUUGGUCUCUUCGAGAGAUAUUCCCCACCCUUUGACACUUAUCACAAGAUUUGCAAAACAAAUAUGCAUCCCUAAACAAAGUAGGCCAAUAAAAACCACUUUCUAGCACUUUACGAGCUGUCCUCUUUGGACCAAAAUGCCCUCCACAUGCAAACGAAUGGCAGAAAGUCAAAAUAGAGUGAAACUCACCUGCACUUACACACCUUCUUAUAACUUGGUCUGAACAUUGCCUCCACAGGUAGGGGUCAUCCCAAAGGUAGUGUUUGGCAUCACUCUUUAACUUAUCCCUUUUAGCUUUUGACCACCCUGCAGGUAAUUGAUUUGUUACCAAAAAAUUAACAAUGUCCGCGUACCAAGGUAUUGACGAAUCAAUGGCUAGAAGUUGCUCCUCAGGGAAUGACUCUCUCAACGGUAGAUCAUCUUGAUUUGUGAGCAACCGGCUCAAAUGAUCAGCCACCAAAUUCUCAGCUCCACUCUUAUCCUUGAUUUCUAGGUCGAACUCCUGCAGGAGUAAAAUCCACCUGAUCAGUCUUGGUUUAGCAUCCUUCUUUGCCAGCAAGUACCUCAAGGCUGCAUGAUCAGAGAAAACUAUUACUUUUGCAUCCAAUAGAUAUGACCUAAAUUUUUCUAGUGCAAAAACAACAGCUAGUAAUUCUUUCUCCGUCGUGGAGUAAUUAAGUUGGGCUCCACUUAAGGCCCUCGACGCAUAAUAGAUCGCGUGUGGUGCUCUUCCAAUUCUUUGGCCCAACACGGCCCCCACGGCAUAGUCACUUGCGUCGCACAUAAUUUCAAACGGAAGGUUCCAAUCUGGGGGUUGAAUGACAGGCGGCGAUGUCAGUGACUCCUUCAAUUUAUCAAACGCCACCUUACAUUCACUUGUGAAAUCAAACGGCACGUCUUUCUGCAGUAGUUUGAACAGGGGUGCUCCGAUCUUCGAAAAGUCUUUGAUAAAGCUCCUAUAAAAACCUGCAUGACCCAAAAACGAACGCACUUCCCGGACACAUACGGGGUAAGGUAGAGCAGAAAUAAGGUCAAUUUUAGCUUUAUCUACCUCUAUGCCCUUAGCUGACACGACGUGCCCUAAGACAAUGCCAUGAUCUAUCAUAAAGUGACAUUUCUCCCAAUUAAGCACCAAAUUCGUUUCUAUACAUCUUUUCAGAAUUAAAGCCAGAUUCUCAAGGCAUUCAUCAAAACUGUCCCCGUACACACUAAAAUCAUCCAUGAAUACCUCAAUUAUUUUUUCCACAUAUUCUGAGAAAAUACUUACCAUGCACCUUUGAAAAGUUGCCGGAGCAUUGCAGAGACCGAAAGGCAUCCUGCGAUAAGCAAAUGUACCGAACGGGCAUGUGAAUGUAGUCUUCUCCUGGUCUUCCGGUGCUAUCGCGAUCUGAAAGUAACCUGAAAAACCAUCCAAGAAACAAUAGUAAACACGACCUGCCAAUCGUUCUACCAUCUGGUCAAUAAACGGGAGAGGGAAAUGGUCCUUUUUAGUCACAGAAUUGAGCUUCCGGUAAUCGAUGCACUGGCGCCAGCCAGUGGCUUUCCUGACCGGGACCAUAUCACCGUCCUGGUUCUCCUCCACGGUCACUCCCGCCUUUUUCGGGACUACCUGGACAGGACUCACCCAUGGGCUAUCCGAGAUAGCAAAAAUGAUCCCCACUUCUAGGAGUUUGAGUAUCUCCUUUUUCACAACUUCCAUCAUCAGGGGGUUCAAUCUUCUUUGAGCCUGUCUUACCGGCUUCGCAUCUUCCUCGAGUCGAAUUCGGUGCAUACAUAAGGAUGGACUUCUUCCCUUGAUAUCUGCUAUACUCCACCCAAUUGUCUCCUUAUGCUCCCUCAGGAUCCGCACUAGUUUGUCUUCUUGACUUGGAGACAGGUGUGCAGAGAUGAUUACCGGCAGUGUCUCCCGGUCUCCUAGGAAUGCGUACUUAAGAUGCUUCGGCAGAGGCUUUAAUUCUAACUCUGGUGCCUGCACAACUGAAGGAAGCAGCUUUGUUUGAGCCUCUGACAUAAAAAGUGAAGUAAGUUCAUACCUUGGGGAUACGGGUGGAAGUGAGUGUAAGGCUUCCACAGCAUGGAGCAAAUCUCCCCGUAGGUCCACAUCAGGAGUUACACCCAACUCCAGAUGCUUGACUAGAGCCACUUCCAAAGCGUUUUUGCCAUCUAAUUCGAAAAUUUCCUGCACAAAAGGCUCAAUAACGCUCAAAGCAAAGACCGAGUUAGAUUCUUCUGGAUACUUGAUCGCCUCAAAAAUAUUGAAAUUCACAGUUUCACCAUCAAAUUCCAUUGACAAAGUACCCUCAUUCACAUCUAUUUUAGUCCUGGCAGUGCUAAGAAAUGGUCUACCUAACAGGAUAGGUGACGGGUUUAAUGAUUUUUCAUCUCCCAUGUCCAAGAUAUAGAAAUCUGCAGGAAAGACCAAUUCAUUUACCUGAACCAAGACAUCUUCAACUAGCCCCUCUGGAUAUGCAUUUGUGCGAUCAGCUAGUUGGAUUAUGAUGGCUGUUUCUUUAAGUGGCCCAAGGUUUAGAGAAGCAAAAAUGGUCUUUGGCAUCACAUUGAUUGACGCCCCUAAAUCUAACAUUGCUUUCCUGAUCGGUGUAUUCCCUAUCUUACAGGAGAUCGUGAACAUACCUGGAUCUCCACACUUGGGUGGGAGCUUUCUUUGGAGCAUUGCUGACACAUUCUCUCCCACCGCUACUCUUUCGUCCCCUCUCAGUUUCCUCUUAUGGGUGCACAGAUCCUUGAGAAAUUUAGCAUAUUUAGGUAUCUGCUUGAUUGCAUCCAGUAAAGGGAUGUUAAUUUCCACCUUUCGGAACACAUCCAAAAGCUCUUUUUCCUUCUCUACCUUUUUUGUCUUCUCCAGCCUGCAAGGAAAAGGAGGUAAGUUAGAUUUAAUAGUGGGCGGAGAAGUGAAGGCUACCUUAGGAUCCUUGCGAAUACGCCCUUCCUCUUCAAUUUCCUUCUCUAUCUCCUCUUCAUUUUUGCUUUUUGAACUUUCCACUUUAGGCCCUUCCAGUUCCUUGCCACUCCUCAGCGUCAUGGCACUUACAUUCCUGAGAUUCACCUCGGGUUGCGAUGGUAGUUUCCCAUAAACGUGGGACUCCAAGCGGUUGAUGGCAGUUGCCAGUUGACUUAUUCGACCGUCUUGGUCCUUCUUGUCCGCUUUGGUGUCCUGCUGGAGCUGCGCGGUAUUCGCGGCCAAGGAUCUGAUCUCCUGUUGAAGCUGGGUAGUAGUCGUGGCCAGGUUAGUAGUAGUCGUGGCCGGGUUUUUGACUAGAUCCUCCAGGGAGCUCCCUGAAUUGGAGGACGAGGGUUGAGAUUUUGGUUGCCAUGGCUGGCUGAAUCCUGGUGGACGAUUUGGAAAUGAAUUUUGCUGCCUGUUCCCAUAACUAAGAUUGGGAUGGUCCCUCCAGCCCGGAUUGUACGUAUUGGAGUAUGGGUCGUACUGCCUGCGGGGCGCGGGCACGCCUCCGGCCAUGUUUACCUGUUCUGCCCCGUCCUUUUGCAAAAUGGGGCACGAGUCUGUGCAAUGGUCCAUGCUAGUGCAGAUUCCACAUACUUUCGCUCGCGGCAUGUCUCUCAUGGCUAAUUGCCUAACAACCGAUGUUAAUUCUGACAGUUGCUGCUGUAAGGAUGAAGUCUCUACCUCGUUGACUCUACGGGGAGGGUUGCUCUCACGGAAGCCAAAUUGCUGGGAGUUCUCUGCCAUGGCUUCGAUGAGCUCUCACGCUUCCCUCGGUGUCUUGUUUGCAAGUGCUCCCCCACUGGCAGCGUCAAUGAUACUCUUGUCUGUUGAUUGGAGCCCCUCAUAGAAGUAUUGGAUUAACAGUUGCUCACUAAUUUGAUGCUGUGGGCAUCUAGUGCACAACUUGUUAAACCUUUCCCAGUAUUCAUACAGGGACUCACCGGGAUAUUGUUUGAUGCCGCAAAUCUCCUUCCUCAAGCUUGCAGCCCGGGAUGCAGGGAAGAAUUUUUCCAAAAAUUUCUUCUUUAACUGUACCCAUGUGGUAAUACUACCCGCUGGUAGGUAGUAUAGCCAAUCCUUGAGAGAGAAGGGGAAAGCUCUAAGUCUUAUCUGCUCCUCAGUGACCCCAGGAGGUUUCAUGCUGGAGCAAACUACCUCGAACUCCUUGACAUGUUUGUGGGGUUCUUCGCCAGAGAGACCAUGGAAAGAAGGUAGAAGGUGAAUCAACCCCGACUUCAGCUCGAAAGCAGUAUUCUCUGCCAAAGUGGGGAAUGUGAUGCAUAAGGGCUGAUGAGUCAACUCCGGGGCAGCCAGUUCCCUCAAUGUUUGGGUGUUGGCCAUGCUUACUUCGUCUUCCGCUGAUUCGUCUGCAGCAAAUAAGUGCCUUUCUUUUUGUCUCUUGGUCUCUUGCCUCCGCCUACGCGCUGCCUUCUCAACCUCAGGAUCGUAUACCAAGUCACCUGUGCGAGAAGAACGGGGCAUAAACUAGCAAAAAUACCAAGAAAAAUAAAAUAAAAUAAAAAUAAAAUAAAAAUAAAAUAAAAACUAAAUUUGAAAAGAAACAAAUAAUUCAAAUGCCAACUCCCCGGCAACGGCGCCAAAAAUUGACAGGUGCCGAACCUGUGCAAUAAUAAUUACUAAAAAGUCCUAAUUACCACCUCAAUUAAAUAAUUAUAGAACAAAUCCAAGUACUGGAGCAGGGACCCUAGGUGUGCAAUGGGUUACUUGAUUCACCCUGUUCCCGAAGAGUUUGCUUGAUCCGAGAUACCGAUGUUGUCUAUAAAAAUACUAAUUUUGCGUACAAUGGCAAGUAGGGUCGAUUCCACAGGGAGCAGGUAGGAAAUUAUUUCUUUCCAAAUCAGCAGAGCAAAAUUUGGGGGAUUUUCAAUGGGAGAGGAAUAAAUAAAAUAAAAGUAAAAUAAAAACAAAGCGAACUAAAUUCAAAACCAACUCACAAAGCACAAUUAACUAAAAAUAGCAAUUAAUAAAAGUUCUACCCAAAGGAUCAACUGCUCAGGCACUGUCCAAUUAAAUGAUCAUCGAUGCAAAGAUAUUUCACCCAUUCAUCACUAGAUUGGUUAUAGCUAUCAAUAAGGUCUGACAACCAAUUCUUCCUUACCUUUUCGACAGUCAAGGUACGACCAUUGAUUGCUUCCCUAACCAGAUAACAACCCUAGGUACGACCUUAGGAAUUUAAUUACCCAAUUGCAUUAAAAUUAGAAGAACCCAACCCUAACCAAUAAACACGCUAAGAGGGUUUAUUUAAACUAGAUCUUGCAUUUCCCCAUCAUAAAACCAAUUAUGGUGGUUGCCACGGGGUGUUAACUAAAUGAACAAUUACGGAUUCUAUUUAAUUAACGUGGCAGCAGGCUAUUAAAUUAAAUCAAAUACCCGGCCGUUGAUAUUCAAUUAAUAAAAUACCCAUGAACAAUUAAUUCAGGAAAUGCACGAAUAGCAAUUAAUCGGAGGAAAUAAUGAAGAUUCGGUUAGAUCUCACAGAUAUUAUGGACCGCGCCUUCGCGUCAACCUUUGGGUAGAGGAGGAAAUUAGCCGCUCCUCAUCGUUUCAAUCCCGCGUGGUUUAAUUGACUUCAUUCAAUUAUUUGCCAAGGAAUUGGGAAAGGGAAAUUAACUGCAAUAACAACCGAAAAGGCCCUGCCUUCGUCCCUGCUUCGGAGUCCCAAUUACAAAGCCAAAGCUACGAAUGAACUGUCCAGCGGAAAAGUUGAAAGUCAACAGAGAAAGGGGCGUCUAGCGCCUGGGAAAAGGAAAAAAACUAAAGCUAGCGUUUUUUAUUCGAUGUCAAAAUUCCUAUCUAAUUUGCUGCCCCCGAAGAAACAAAAGCGAAGGGCGGCGUCUGACAAAAAGUAGCCAAAAAGAAAACUAAAGCUAACUCCCGAUUCUGAAUCUCUUUUUCCUUUUUAUAUGCAGUGCCGCCCAAGAGAAGUCAAGAAGCAAACAGACGUCUGGCCCAAUUGAUUGCAAAAGGUAUCUCCUUUGGAGUUUUGAUCCCACGCUCCGGGUUCACGUGGACCACGGUCCGUCUUUCGGUUUCGUCCACCUUCCAAGGCGUGGUCACGCCCUGGGACGACAAGUCUUCUGGAAAUUUUUCCCCGCGAUAUCUUUUUAAUGCUAACCACCUACAAUUCACACAAAUGUCAAAUAUGAGUGAAAUCCCCUUCUUUAGCACCAUGAAUAGCCAAAAUUAGGACAAGAUGACAGUGCAAAACGUGCCAAAUAACGGCUCUAUCAAGCAUGCUAAUGGUGGUGGGAAGCAAAACUUCAGCAUAGUUAAGAAUUGAUCAUUUUGACAUGAGUAGUUAGAAUUGCAAGAACAAUAAUACAAUCAAUGGGAAGGGCCAUAAACUUCAGCAUAUUCUCACGCCACGUUAAAAUUAAGAAACAAGAUGCAGAGUUGGGCGUGCAAGGUAAAUUUGGAGAGCACAUUGAAGUUUCCUCUGUUUAUGCAGCCUGACUUAAAGCCCCAGUUUGUAAGGUAGAGGGAUUCACUCGGAAGAAGAUCAGCAUCUCAAUCCAGUUAAAACACCGUGGUAGAUGGAAGCUAGCACUUGGAGUUUGAUUAGUAUCAAAAGCAUAUUCAAUGACCUAAUUUGCAUCUAAAUUCUAAAUACAUGCAGCUACCAAUAGAUUUCGGUUAGAUAGUCAUUAGCUUGACAUCUUUUCACACUGUUAAAGGACACUCUGAUUGUUAUCUGCAUCCAUGCAAGCCAUCUUGACAGUUAAGAGGUACUAACAUUUUCAACAUUUGCAGCUAGUUUGGGAGUUUUAGACAGAAAAGAAAAGAAGAGAAAGCUCAAGUCAUGAAAGAAAAGAAAAGAAGAGAUUUAGUUUUGAUAUUGUUUGGGAUUUUAGUAAAGAAAUAAAAUGAUAUUGGAUACAUAUGCCAAUAAAAUUUUGUUUAAUAGACAUUUAAGUAUAAAUUUGGUAUUUUAAACAAUUUCAGAAAGCUUGCUUCAACUCUGUUUUGUUGGAAAAGUAUUAUUAACUGUAAAUGCAUCCAAAAUCUUCUCAUUUUCUCUUUUUUUUUUUCCAUCACUCCACAACUCCCAAACAUCAUAAAAGAGCUAUAUUCUCUCACUUUCUUCUCAUUUCCUGUCAAAUCUAAGCUCCCAAACAAAGCAUUGGUCUCCACAUGAUUUACAAUUACCUAACUUAAGCUCCAGUGUGCAAAAUCUAAUAUCAAAGGAUGAAUUACGUAAAUGUAACUUCAACGUCUACCAAUCUUUUAUUUCCUUUCUUUCAUUACUACCUCCAUUUGCAGCACCCUUCAUAUUUGAAAUUUUGCAAUUUUUGACAGCUAUGGUGAAAAAAAAAUAAUGGCUCUAAUGUCACAACACAAAUUUUAUUUCCACAAUAAUUUUUUGCAUAAACUACUAAAUUUGCCCUUCUCAGGUCCAAAUGUAGUUUGGACGUAAUGCGUCAUUUUAACAAAAUUUGCUCGGAAAAUAAAUUUUGAGCUAUGGCAAUAUGAUUUGUCCUUGCUAUUGCUACUUAAGCAAACAAUGACUGCAAAUCAUUAGCUUGUCCUCCCUCAUCUAUUGAUACAUGUGUCAAAUAUCUUUAUCAUUCCAUUAUCCAAGAAUUAGAGUAAAAUAUAUGCUUUAGUUUGCUAUGAGGGACUCAAUCCGUGCAAACACAAACAUUAGAGUAAAAUAUAUGCUAUAGGAUAGUAAUUUUUUUGGAAUUUUUUUGUAGGAAAAUAGACUGUAGCACUUGUUUUAAUAUGAUGCGUAUGAGCUAAAAAUAUUAUUAGAAAAUGUGUCAAGAUAUAUUCUUGGAAAAAUCUGAAAAAAUUUUCUACAAAAGAAUACAAUCCAAACAAGGUCUAAAGAUGCCUAACUGACAAGUAAGCUUCUUUUUUUUUUUUUUUUCUCAGAAACAACAAAAGUUAUAUUGAUAAAAUCAGAACUUUACCCUUGUAGAGCAACGGUUCCGAGAGGCAAUACAAAGGUGUUAAACACCUUGAGAAUUAUUCAAUUCCUCAUCACUACAAAUACCUACUACAUAAGUACUAACAUAUUUACUUAUAUUGUCAUUUGCUAUAUCUAAACAAAAAGAGCAUUUUUGCAACAAAGAGCUUAAAUUGUUGAUGUCAUCCAUCAGAGUGGCCAGCCUAAUGUCUUUGGUUUUUCUGGGGAUUAAUACCACUUUGUCCCCCCAAACUUUGGACGAUUACCCACUUCAGUCCCUAAACUUCAAAAUGGGACACUUAAAUCCCUAAACUUAUACAUACCUCCCACUUGGAUAUGUAGUUUGAUAGAUAAUGGAGGUUCCUUGGUAUAUAAGUUCUAGAGUUUCCUAGCUCGAGGUCUCUGCUGUUUCCACACAUUUUUGGCACAAGCUCAAACUACUCUAAUGCUUCUUGUCUUAAUAUAACUACUGAAUGUUGAUAGCUUGAGCAGAGUCUAUUGGAAAACAACUAUGAAUAAUCUGGAGGGGUCGUGGUUUGGAGGCCUGAUGUUUUCUUUAUGGCUGUUUAGAUGGGUAGAACCUGAAAAGGAAGCACGGAGAGGAGCUAUAAUGGAUGUACCAUUAUCUAGGACGAACAAUGACAUUGUCCAUUGGGCUACAUCAAAAUCUAUAAUGCAAUCUUUAACAUAUUUCAGGUUUAAUCAUUUGAAGAAAUUGUAUCCACAGUCAGCAUUUUCGUGAUCAAUAUGUCAAAACCUACAUUGAUUUGUUGUUAAAGCAUCUUCAUUUACAUAUAUGCAUUACAGGGAGCUCAUCCUUCUAAUCUUUUAAAAAAAGGACUGGUCUCAGUAUUCCUCUGAAUCUGAAAGUAAACAUAAAGAAGUAUUCACAAUCUUCUUUGAUCUAAGACAAGGAUUUUCAGAUUCACAUUUCCCCCGUUCAUCUCUUCUUCCUUAAUCUCUUGAACCAAACUUCCAACAUGGCCCGGACAGCGAUGCACCUGAAUCAAUUCAAGAGUUGGAAUUUCCCCCAAACAAGAAGGAAGCUCCUCCAAGUUCAAGCAGCUUUCCAAAACCAAUUUCGGAAGACAGGGGAGAUGAUCACCGGAGCACGUCCACCUGACAAUGCACAACAAUUCCAAUUUCAAGAAUUUGAGUUUAGGGAACUCCCCUUCUUCCAUGUUCCAUAUUUCUUCCCCACCAGCUUUUGUACCCAGUAAUUUGAGAACCUCAAGAUUAGGUAGUCUUCCUAUUGAGGAAUCAUACUCCAGGGAAAUACUUCCAGGGUCAACUUUUUUAGAUUCAUGGGGAAACUGAACUCAUAAUCCUUCUCUUUCACACCCUAAAAAGACAGCUUCACUGACUCCAGUCGUCUCAGAAAGUCCAUUGCCACAAUCCUGUUCCAAUCCCCACAAGAUUUUUCUGUUUCAGCGAGACCGCAUUUCAGUUUGCGGAUAUUUGGAAACUUCUUCAUUAUCUUAUCCAUGCUUUGCCCCAAAUCAAGCUCAAGACAGUAAGAGCCAUCGAUGAGGUUCCCUGUUGAGCUUUGGGCCUAAAAUCACUGCAAAGCACAAAUACUCAAACUCAAGACGGCAUAUAGCAUAGAAUAAAGCCAAAAGAAAUUUUCAGAUAAGUGCAGGUUCUGUGUCAUUGUAACCAAAGCCCUAAAAGAAAAAACUCACCAUAAAAGUAGUAGCACCAACAAUCAUAAAAGCAGAGAGAGCUUAAGAGCCUUUAUCAAGAUGGAUUCAUUAAGAGCAGCAAGCAGGGUUGACUAGCUACUGGAAUGCUUCAAAAUAGUACAACUUCAUUGCUUGAACAGUACAUCUUCCUUGGCUACCUCAAUAAUAUCUUCAUCAUGACACGAUUUCUUUUGUUUUAUGCAUAAUAUGAAAUUUUGAACCAAUACAUGAAAUUGAUGACCAAUAGCUGCAAAACCUCCUCGAUUGACCGUUGUCUUCAUGGGGAGAAAGCCAAAACAAAGGAAAAAUGUGUCAGAAAACCAUCAUAUGUGACUCUGAUAGCAAUUACUAAUCAAAUGGUUCAGAUAAGAUUGCAAGUUCAUUAUCAAGAGGUAAAAGUUCAGAGAAACCAUUUCAUCGCCUUAGAAUCACAAGUUUAAAUGGAAUGAGCUGACUUUAGCAAUAAUACAGAAUUGGACAUGUAAAAUCAACAAAACUAGACUGCCAGUUGUUUUAAACGUUGAUGGGCUAUUUGGAGGAAAUGCAGGCCAAAAGUUAUUGAGUUCCAGCCAUAAAGAUCGUGCUGAAGAGGCUUCAAAAUUCUGUCCUCUGUUCGUCUAAGCAAAAGACCACAAAAAUCAGCUAGGAAAGUACUGGAGAAAGGAGUGUGCUUUGGCAUACAAAAUGCAAUUACAUUUUCCACAGGUGAAAGUUCAGAGAACCCGUUUCAUCCUCAUACAAAUCGCGAGUUAAAGAGAGAGCUAAUCUUAGAAAUCAUAAUGUACAACAGAUUGGCUGACAUACAUGAUAAGCAAAGUCAAGUCAAAUCUUAAUUUCUUUAACAUGUUGCUUGAUUAGUUGAUUGUUUCACUUCUCUUUUAAGCAAAACUUGCUUUGGUCACCCAAGAAAAUCUUGUGCAUUUGGUUAUUAACUACAGAAACGAGAUAAUAACUCAAGCUUCCAAUGAAGUCAUGUAACCAUCGCCUGUUAAUGGUAAUGUUUAUAAAGUACCUAUAACUUUGAAUCAUGAUGCAAAAACCUAAGAAAGACACCAAUCAAAAAUGAAAAGAAGUACUUCAUGCAAUUCUUCAAUUUUUGUUAAGUGACCACCAACAUAAGAUUUACUGAACAUCAUAUAGACCAAGAAAUUUUGGAAUAACUAGGAAUCUUAUGGCAACAGAAUCAUUCUAGACAUGCUAUUUUUAGCUACAAAGAGAACAUGAAAACUCAGAAAAUCAUGUUGUAUGUAAUGGAGCUAAGAUGCAGCUUCAAGAAAGGUGGUGAGCAAAGCAAUGCAUAUAUCCUUGGAAGCAGACCCUCUAAAACUUUCAAACUCUUGUUACUUAAUCAUUUUUGUCACAAUACAUAUAUCACCUCAACUAAGGCAAUAAAUAAAAUUCUUCUUAAGAGUUUCACUGGAGUAUGUUCUCCUACAGAAAAAAGGAGAAAAAAUCUACAAUUUAAAUGGUCUGAAAUCUUUCUAUGUUAGCAAACCCACAUAUUUCUGUGCUGGGACAUACAUUCAUCUGACGCUUUAUUCCAGAAUAUAACACAUUAUUUGUUUCUAGCAAGUAAAUAAGUAAAUAAAACUUUUCACAGUUAAUGGUGGUGAGUACCUGAGUUGGAUGAGCUCAGAUUUAAAAAUCCCAAGAAAGCAUGCUGCCUGCAUUAUAAAUAAGAUUGAACAAGAAGUUCCAUUACGUUUUUGAGCUGGAAAUCUUACAGAAAGUAAGAGUUUCUUUUUGUUAGUUUUCACCCUAACAAUAAUGAGCAGGUAAUAAGACUUGAUACCAUACACAAAUAUUUAUUUGGUUAAAAUAAAUGUGCUAACCUCAGUGUUACUCUUGAAAGUUGGCAAAAACUCCAAUGGUUAAUGUGUGACUCUAAUACGAGCUCUGUUGCCAACAAGAUGCCAAUAAUGAUCAUCAGAAGGCCAUGGUAAUGAUGGUUUCAUAAAGUACUCCAGAUAAGUUGGGGCAAGAAAUUUUUGGCCAGCAGCUUGUACGGGCCAGUUACAGUCACUGAGCAAUCAAAAUCCAGACCUACAACUUCUGUAAUUUAGCGUCAGUUAGUUUCAAAGAUAAGAAGCCUGGAAAAAAUAAGCAAAUGCACAGUGUUAUAGCAUGUUAGUUUGGACAAUUGCACCUCAUGAUUAAAAAGGCACAUUGAGAGUGUGCAAGCUCCCAAGAUAAGGACAUCAGGCGUUGGCUAACUAAGGCACCAAGAUGAAAGAAAAGAGUGCCAACAUAAACAUUUCAGUCUAACUGAAACAGGAUCUGGUUCAACACAAUUCUCAAAGAUGCAUGCUCUGUAAUUAUUAAUUACCAGCCAUUGUAGAUUUCCAGUUGAGCUUUGAGCCUAAGGUCACUGGAAAAUAGAAAAUUCGAUCUUAGACAGUAUGUAGUGAGCAAGAUAUUUCAAAUAGUUCAGUCAAUCCAAUGAAAAGCCAAAAUCUGUGUCUUGUUGGCUUUUAAGCUAAAUAAAUAAGCAGUCACGUGUACAAUUUGCCCUACUCUUAGUCUACUCUUGUUCCAAGCAGGAAGUAAGUAAUUACAACUCAUAACCUGAAAAAACGGUGGGCAAUUUGUAACACAAUCACAGCAAAAAUAAUUUAAUAUCAGCGAUAUGUAUGGUGCUGAGGAAGAUUAAAUACAACAAGAAUUUACUUUAGUUUUGCAUGCAAUAGACAAUCAUAAUCCACUUGGCAGGAACUGGAAAAGGAGCAAGGUCAAGAGUUGCUGGUAUGAAUUGGAGGUCCAAAUCUGUGAUAAAAGAAGUGUGCUACUGCUGUAUGUGAUGGGAACAUGAAACAAGAAAAGUAUCUUCAAGAGAUUAAAUUUCAAAGCAGCCAUUUUUCCCCUGUAGAAUCUCAAUUUUGAAGAGUUUUUUCUGAGGUUUUAUGUUGAUUUGGUUGACCACUUGUUUAUGCGUACAUCUUUGGGUGACCCAUGAAAAUCUUAUGCAUUCAGAUGCUAGCUAGUUUAGAAAAUAUAACGCAGACAUUCAAUAAAUUGGGCCAUCACUUGCUGUUAUACUGAGAGAUAAAAGUCGGAACAGUGGCUUGUUUUCAUGCUAAUUCAUGGUUACAGAGUAUUAAGUUGUUAAGAGGGGGAAAAUGAAGAGCACUAAUGUUUUCAACCAUAUAAGAUAUGCUAAUUACUGAUACAAUAGGACAAGAAAAAGGGAGGAGAGAAAAUUGGGAAGAAUAACCACUGGGAAUUCAACUCUCUUGUUUUUUUCACGAGAUGGAUAAUCAGAGGAGGAGGAGAAGAGAAGGCAUAUCUCAAAACGACAAAGAGAUUGAUUGUAAGGUGAAUAAAAAGAAAUAGAGA